AUUGAACGCUGGCGGCAGGCCUAACACAUGCAAGUCGAGCGAGCGGCGGACGGGGGCGUAAUGUAUGGGGACUGCCCGAUAGAGGGGGAUAACUACUGGAAAAGGUAGCUCAUACCGCAUACUAUCGGAUAACCCAUAUGGGAUUAGCUAGUAGGUGAGGUAAUGGCUCACCUAGGCGACGAUCCCUAGCUUGGCUGAGAGGAUGAUCAGCCACACUGGGAAUGAGCAACGGCCCAGACUCCUACGGAGGCAGCAGUGGGGAAGAUUGCACAAGGGGCGCAAGCCUGAUGCAGCCAUGCCGCGUGUAUGAAGAAGGCCCUAGGGUUGUAAAGUACUUUCAGUCGGGAGGCGUUACCGACAGAAGAAGCACCGGCUAACUCCGUGCCAGCAGCCGCGGUAAUUC
rnacentral:rRNA from 1 species